rnacentral:rRNA from 1 species
AUUGAACGCUGGCGGCAGGCUUAACACAUGCAAGUCGAGCGGAGAUGAGGUGCUUGCACCUUAUCUUAGCGGCGGACGGGUGAGUAAUGCUUAGGAAUCUGCCUAUUAGUGGGGGACAACAUUCCGAAAGGAAUGCUAAUACCGCAUACGUCCUACGGGAGAAAGCAGGGGAUCUUCGGACCUUGCGCUAAUAGAUGAGCCUAAGUCGGAUUAGCUAGUUGGUGGGGUAAAGGCCUACCAAGGCGACGAUCUGUAGCGGGUCUGAGAGGAUGAUCCGCCACACUGGAACUGAGACACGGGCCAAACUCCUACGGGAGGCAGCAGUGGGGAAUAUUGGACAAUGGGAGGAACCCUGAUCCAGCCAUGCCGCGUGUGUGAAGAAGGCCUUAUGGUUGUAAAGCACUUUAAGCGAGGAGGAGGCUACUGAGACUAAUACUCUUGGAUAGUGGACGUUACUCGCAGAAUAAGCACCGGCUAACUCUGUGCCAGCAGCCGCGGUAAGAC